rnacentral:rRNA from 1 species
GUGGGGAAUUUUGGACAAUGGGCGCAAGCCUGAUCCAGCAAUGCCGCGUGCAGGAAGAAGGCCUUCGGGUUGUAAACUGCUUUUGUACGGAACGAAAAGGCUCUGGUUAAUACCUGGGGCUCAUGACGGUACCGUAAGAAUAAGCACCGGCUAACUACGUGCCAGCAGCCGCGGUAAUACGUAGGGUGCAAGCGUUAAUCGGAAUUACUGAGCGUAAAGCGUGCGCAGGCGGUUUUGUAAGACAGACGUGAAAUCCCCGGGCUCAACCUGGGAAUGGCGUUUGUGACUGCAAAGCUGGAGUGCGGCAGAGGGGGAUGGAAUUCCGCGUGUAGCAGUGAAAUGCGUAGAUAUGCGGAGGAACACCGAUGGCGAAGGCAAUCCCCUGGGCCUGCACUGACGCUCAUGCACGAAAGCGUGGGGAGCAAACAGGAUUAGAAACCCUGGUAGUCC